GAUGAAGAACGUAGCGAAAUGCGAUAAGUAAUGUGAAUUGCAGAAUUCAGUGAAUCAUCGAAUCUUUGAACGCACAUUGCGCCCCCUGGCAUUCCGGGGGGCAUGCCUGUUCGAGCGUCAUUACAACCCUCAAGCUCUGCUUGGUAUUGGGCUCUGCCGGUCCCGGCAGGCCUUAAAAUCAGUGGCGGUGCCACUCGGCUUCAAGCGUAGUAAUUCUUCUCGCUUCGGAGACCCGGGUGCGUGCUAGCCAGCAACCCCCAACUUUCUCAGGUUGACCUCGGAUCAGGUAGGGAUACCCGCUGAACUUAAGCAGAUCAAUAAGCGGAGGA
rnacentral:misc_RNA from 1 species